rnacentral:rRNA from 1 species
UUGAACGCUGGCGGCAUGCCUUACACAUGCAAGUCGAACGGCAGCACGGGGGCAACCCUGGUGGCGAGUGGCGAACGGGUGAGUAAUAUAUCGGAACAUACCCUAGAGUGGGGGAUAACGUAGCGAAAGUUACGCUAAUACCGCAUACGAUCUACGGAUGAAAGUGGGGGCUCGCAAGACCUCAUGCUCAUGGAGCGGCCGAUAUCUGAUUAGCUAGUUGGUGAGGUAAAGGCUCACCAAGGCGACGAUCAGUAGCUGGUCUGAGAGGACGACCAGCCACACUGGGACUGAGACACGGCGCAGACUCCUACGGGAGGCAGCAGUGGGGAAUUUUGGACAAUGGGGGCAACCCUGAUCCAGCAAUGCCGCGUGAGUGAAGAAGGCCUUCGGGUUGUAAAGCUCUUUUGUCAGGGAAGAAACGGUGAAGGCUAAUAUCUUUUGCUAAUGACGGUACCUGAAGAAUAAGCACCGGCUAACUACGU